rnacentral:rRNA from 1 species
UAUGUGAUCGUCUCUCGCAUAUCAAUAAGCGGAGGAAAAGAAACUAACAAGGAUUCCCCUAGUAACGGCGAGUGAAGCGGGAAGAGCUUAAAUUUGAAAUCUUAAAGGGUUUCCCUUUACGAAUUGUAGUUUAAAGAAGUGUUUUCUGUUGAGGUUUUGGUAAAAGUUCUUUGGAAUAGGACAUCAUAGAGGGUGAGAAUCCCGUAUUUGACCUUUACUUUCAACUUUGUGAUACACUUUCAAAGAGUCGGAUUGUUUGGGAAUGCAGUCCAAAAUGGGUGGUAAAUUUCAUCUAAAGCUAAAUAUUGGCGAGAGACCGAUAGCGAACAAGUACCGUGAGGGAAAGAUGAAAAGGAACUUUGUAAAGAGAGUUAAACAGUACGUGAAGUUGUCAAAAGGGAAGCGUUUGACACCAGUGUUGUUUUUCUGAAAAUCAAUUAAAGAACUGUUUAUGCUAAGUUGUUUAGACUUUAUCAGCUAACUGUUUAGUUUUGAGCUUUUCUUUAAUGCACUUUUCAGUUAACAAGUCAACAUCAAUUUCUUUUGCUGUAAAAAAGCUUGAGGAAGGUGGCUUGAGAUUCGUCUUAAGUGUUUAUAGCCUCUUGCCUAUGCAGUCGGAGAGAUUGAGGUCUGCAGCGUAGAUCCUUCGGGGCUAAAUGCAUUUGUGCUAAGUUAUAGCAUUUUAUAGACAACUUGUUGACUAUGAUUUGUCUUGUAGCUUACUCGCUUAUGUUAUUUUACCUACGCUUAGGAUGUUGAUAUGCAUGACUGAUAU